CAGGAAAGCAAGCGACAAAAUAACUACAAGCUUUGUUCCACUGGAUAUUGCAGUAUAAUAAACAAAUUGACAGUUAACCAAAAACACCUUUAUUUUAGUCUUCAAAGAACGAACUGUUCUUCUUUCUCCAAGACAAUCAUGAUUAACUUAAAAAAUGGGCAUUUACAAUGCAUCUUCAAAGCAUUUCCCUUUAACGGGAAACUUAGCUUCAUAGAAUCCAAACAUUAAAAGGUUAAAAAAAAAUUUUCUAUUUUGUUGUCCUUAUAAGACAAAACAGAAUCCAGCAUAAGUCAAGGAAAUCCAUUCAUACUUCAGGGCCUUCUCCUCCAGGAACCAGCUGCAAAGGAGGAAAAAGUUUAAUAACACCACCACUACAUCCUCUAAAAACCCUUACUGAGAGCUCCUCAUUGACCAAAGCCACUUCUGCCCCUCAGCCCCUCCUCCACAUCCCCAUUUUCUCCAUGUCACUGCUGUUUAUAAUUCCAACACGAUCAAUUAACAUUUAGUGUCUCAACAAUAAAAAAAAUAAAAUGAAAUACUAAAAAGCACAAACUAAUCUUUAGGCCCAAUGUCACCUUCAACAGCUCAGCUUUAGAGCCUGACCACCAGAGCACCACUUCCCCAUCUCAGGCACCACUGGGCCGUGAACAUUUCAUCCAGCAAGUUAGUUCUGUAAGUCCUGACCCAAAAAAUGGUUUAACAUCUAAAUAAAAUCAGGUUUACUGUCUUACCAUUGUUAUAUUAUUGCCAUUUAGCAAAAUCUGAUCUAAUUUAGUAAUCCUUCUUCCUUCUGGUGUGAUUUCACUAAAUGAAUAGAUAAAAAAGAGUCAGGAUAAACAGUGAUAAUCAAAGCCAACAUUUUGAUCCCUGGAAAGAUUAAUUAUUGUAUAUAAAUGAAUGUGAGGUCAGGCAAUUAGGUCAACAGUUUUCAGAGACAAAGGUUAUCCACUGGGUGAUGUAUACUCUUCCCCAAAGGCAACAGAGUGGACUGACCGCCCUAAGAUUCACAUCUACUAGGGCUGAUCUUCAUAAAAGCUGAAACUUGCCAAGGAGAUCAAAUAUGAAAUGCUUACUUCCCUCAUUCUUUUUCCUAUUACUUAUUACUGAUUCCUACCCAUUAAACCCAAUCUGUAUUCAAUUCAAUUCUGAAAGUGAAGAUAUUGGUUGUGAUCUUUAUAACUAAUAUAAGUGACUCAUCAUCUACAUUUUAUAUUAUACAUAAAUUACAGAGCAAUUAAUUUAAUUAAAAGCAGUAAAUGAUCUUACUAUCAGUUCCCUGAUGUGACCUGAGCCCUAAGAUUCUUGGCUGUUUUUCAGUAUCUUUUACCUUAAAGUUUUGCCUCCACUAAUUCCCUACCAGUUUAGCAAUAAUUACAUUGAGGUAAUAACCCUCCAAUCCAAUUACUAGUGUCAGUAGAUAAAAUUUCUAUUUUAAGGUAAUUCCAACAGACAAUGUUUUUGCAUGCAUCAUUUUACUGCCUCAAUAAUACUAAAACUGCCUUAAAUUAAAAAGCGAGAGAUUACCCCCACCCCAAUUCUUUAAUUUUUAACACUACUCACAACUCAGUGACAUCUUCCAGUACCAUAUCUGAAUGACAAAGUCAUCAAAUCCUAGAAGCGUGCCAACAAUUUCCUUAUCACUCUUCAUCACAAUGUGAAUUCUUGAUCCUAUACACUUGUCCACAAGCUCUGUAGAUACAUUUUUUUAAAGAAAGGAAAAGGAGGAAAGACGGAAAAGAUUAUUUUACCCACUCAUUACUUUCACAAAUAUUUGAGUGCCUACUGACACUUAUUACUCACAAACGGAGAAACACAAACCAGGAAAAGAAUUUAUUCAAAAGCUUUAGAUCUUAGACUACAUAUCUCUGUUCAAUCAUUACAUUAACAAAUUUUCCCUGUUCUCCACUUACCUUUGGCAGCAAAUUAUCAUGGCUGUGUUUUUAUA
rnacentral:lncRNA from 1 species